UCUGGUGACUAUAGCUUGAAGGUAACACUCCUGCCCAUUCUGAACAGGUCAGUUAAGCUUCAAAGCGCCAAUAGUACUGCACUGGAGACGGUGCGGGAGAGUAGGUUAUUGCCAGGU
rnacentral:rRNA from 1 species